GAUGAACGCUGGCGGCGUGCCUAAUACAUGCAAGUCGAGCGAACAGACGAGGAGCUUGCUCCUCUGACGUUAGCGGCGGACGGGUGAGUAACACGUGGAUAACCUACCUAUAAGACUGGGAUAACUUCGGGAAACCGGAGCUAAUACCGGAUAAUAUAUUGAACCGCAUGGUUCAAUAGUGAAAGACGGUUUUGCUGUCACUUAUAGAUGGAUCCGCGCCGCAUUAGCUAGUUGGUAAGGUAACGGCUUACCAAGGCAACGAUGCGUAGCCGACCUGAGAGGGUGAGCGGCACCACGGGAACUGAGACACGGCCCAGCCUCCGAGGGGAGGCAGAAGUAGGGAAUCUUCCGAAAGGGGCAAAGGCGGGACGGAGCAACGCCGGGGGAGUGAUGAAGGUCUUCGGAUAGAAAAACUCUUUUAUAAGGGAAAAAAAAAUGUGAAAGAAACUAGGCACGUCUGGAGGGACCCAAAUAAGAAAAACAGGACAAACUCGGGC
rnacentral:rRNA from 1 species